AGUGACGCGCGUGAAAUCCUUUUAUAGUGGCCGAGGAGGGAGAUCGGGCGUGGAUGUCGACGGCCGACAUUCGGGGCGCCUCUUUUGGAAACUGUGAUAAUGAGAGGAAACUUCAAAUUGAUUUCCGAAAUGGGUUCUCGGGAUGGUGAGGAUUGAUGGGGUGGUUUCUUUUUGAAGAGAGACGCGCGGGAAGGAAAGUAAUCGAAGAAAGAAAAUAUGGAAGGAGAGGAUUCCUUACGUGCAGAGGAGGAAGAAGCGCGAGCUCGUGCUCGUGGCUGGCUGGGGCGCUCGGUGGAGAUGGGCCGGCCCAGUUGGGCGGUCCAUUCUCUUUUGUUUUUCCUUUUCUUUUCUUUUUUCCAUUUCUUUUUUUAUUAAUAAUUUUUGAUUCCUAACUCCAAAUAAGUCCAAAUAAACUGCAGUAAAUUUGUAAAUUCAAAAUAAAAUAAAAAUACUUUUGCUUAUAUAAAUGUCAUUAGGGCUUUAUAAGUAAUAAAAAAAAAUAGAUUUUGAAAUCUAUUAUGAAACCUUUGUUUCAUAAAUUAACUUAAACUCCAAUACAAUAUUGGGUUGGCAUACUUUGCACUAAAACCCUUCCUUAGCUAAAUACCCCAUUGGAUUGAAUUCCAAAUAAAAUCUCAUAAUAAUUAUACGGUUUAAUAAAAUUCUCAAAUGGCUUUAUAACACCAAAUCACAAAUCAUGUAAACAUCACAUAUGUUUCCAACUAUAUAUGUUUGGGAAGUCACGUUAUCCCACUCUCAACAAUGGAAUAAAUGUUGGAAUAACAUUUGCACAUGAGGAUGUCACGUUAUCCUCUUCUCGAAUAUUUGAUAGUUUCCUCCCGAAACAAAAUGAACACGCCAAAGCAAAUAUCGAGAGAAACAUAGGUGAAUCAUUAUAUAUGUUUUCCAACCUUAUACUUGGGAAGUCAUAUUAUUCUCUUUCUUUAACAUUUAAAUAAAUGUUAGAGAACAUUUCUAAUCGAUUUAAGUAUUCCAACGAUGCUCUCAAAUGAUCAUGGCAUCCAAAUUGAAAACUUAGUGUGCUAUUAAAAUCUUCAGAAAGAAAAUACGAUUUACU
rnacentral:lncRNA from 1 species